AUGGACUCCGUGGAGAGGUCCAGGAGGAGGGCGCAGCGAUGGAGUAAGCGCAAGGCCGCCGUCGUCCACCUCGCCGUCUGCUUCGUCGUCGGCGCCUUCGCACCGCUGGUCGCCACCCGCGGCCCGUUGAUCGACGGCAUCCGCGCCUCGUUUCUUCCGUUUGGCGGUGUUCAGCGAGCCCCUGCUGCCCCCGACAUCGGCCUCCUGCUGAUCGUCACCGUCACACGGCCGGACGACGACGUUGUGUCGCAGGAGGCGUCGCUGACAAGGCUUGGGCACACGCUGCGGCUCGUCCCGCCGCCGUUGCUAUGGAUCGUGGUUGGGGCCGAGAACAGGUCGGCGUCAACGGUCCAGGUGCUCCGCGGCACCGGCGUCAUGUUCCGGCAUCUCACCUACGCCAACAACACCACCGGGAAUGUCAAUGACGAAGCGGACCUGAAGAAGAACGUGGCGCUGAGCCACAUCGAGCGGCACCGGCUGGCCGGGGUUGUCCACUUCGCCGCCGCCUCUGCCAUAUACGACCUCGAGUUCUUUGAAGAGCUCAGGCAGACUCGGGGCGUUGCAGCAUGGCCAACGGCAACUGUGUCAUCAGCAGAGCAGAGAGUAACAGUGCAAGGACCAACCUGCAACUCAUCACAGAUAACAGGCUGGUACUCCAAGGACUCGGGCACCAAUGAGACACAUAGAGAGUCUGUUGCUGCUGCACAAGAUACAGGUGCAAUCCACAACAUCUCCAGUUCACCUCCUGCAAUAGAGACAUCUGGACUUGGGUUCAGGAGCUCAAUACUGUGGGAAUCAGAAUGGUUCGUCAACAGCAACAGCUCUCAGGACUUCAUCCAGCUUGUACGAGAAAUGGCGGUCGGCGACGGGGACGAGCGGAAGGGCAUCCCUUCUAACUGCUCCGAGUCACGGAUAAUGCUGUGGCACCUUGACAUGCCAAAGCACACUCCAGAAGUUGAAGAACAGGAGACUCCACAGGAGCAAAGUCCAUUGGAGGAAGACGAAGAGGACUAUAUGACUUGA
rnacentral:rRNA from 1 species